ACAUGCCUACAACAUAGCGUUAUUGCACCAGAUCCCAUUAGAACUCCUCAAUUAAGCACGCUCAAGCUAGAGUAGUAUUGGGAUGGAUGACUUCCGGGGAAGUCCUAGUGUUUUACAUGCC
rnacentral:rRNA from 1 species